rnacentral:rRNA from 1 species
GAUGAACGCUGGCGGCGUGCCUAAUACAUGCAAGUCGAGCGAACAGACGAGGAGCUUGCUCCUCUGACGUUAGCGGCGGACGGGUGAGUAACACGUGGAUAACCUACCUAUAAGACUGGGAUAACUUCGGGAAACCGGAGCUAAUACCGGAUAAUAUGUUGAACCGCAAGGUUCAAUAGUGAAAGACGGUUUUGCUGUCACUUAUAGAUGGAUCCGCGCCGCAUUAGCUAGUUGGUAAGGUAACGGCUUACCAAGGCAACGAUGCGUAGCCGACCUGAGAGGGUGAUCGGCCACACUGGAACUGAGACACGGUCCAGACUCCUACGGGAGGCAGCAGUAGGGAAUCUUCCGCAAUGGGCGAAAGCCUGACGGAGCAACGCCGCGUGAGUGAUGAAGGUCUUCGGAUCGUAAAACUCUGUUAUUAGGGAAGAACAAAUGUGUAAGUAACUAUGCACGUCUUGACGGUACCUAAUCAGAAAGCCACGGCUAACUACGUG